rnacentral:rRNA from 1 species
UACGUAGGGGGCAAGCGUUGUCCGGAAUCAUUGGGCGUAAAGGGCUCGUAGGCGGCCAACUAAGUCGGAUGUGAAAUCCCCAGGCUUAACCUGGGAACUGCAUCCGAUACUGGAUGGCUUGAAUUCGGGAGAGGGAUGCAGAAUUCCAGGUGUAGCGGUGAAAUGCGUAGAUAUCUGGAGGAAUACCGGUGGCGAAGGCGGCAUCCUGGACCGAGAUUGACGCUGAUGAGCGAAAGCUAGGGGAGCAAACGGGG